GGCACAUGUCUGUUAGCAUGCAGAGGGAAGCAUCAUUUGUUCCUUUGCUCUAGAAAAUUCAUCAUCUCAUAUGGAUAGACGGUGGUUUAGUGUCAUAAGCCAUUAAUAUUCACCAUGCUCUUUGUACAUCUGAUAUCUUUGAAAAAAUUGCAUAUGUGUCGCCGCAUUGUUUUUGUGCAUUCCAGGUGGAGUUUUAGUUUUGUGCCGUCUGGCUUUUCUUUGUGUGAAAGAAGAUAACUCAUUGAAAUCCUUAUUUGACCGGCCUACAGCAAUACAGCAAUCACAGUAUCUAAUGACUCUAUUGUCCUUCGAGAGCUAUAGUUCUUCGAGUAGCUGCUUGUUAUCGGUGCAAGUCUGUCGCAACUUUUACAUCAAUUGCAGUCUCCCUCUGCAACUUCAGUAGCUGCUUGUUAUCGGUGCAAGUCUGUCGCAACUUUUACAUCAAUUGCAGUCUCCCUCUGAUAUUGAUAACGGUUGUACUUCCAGGUUCGGUUUUAUAUGCACGUUUAUUUUCGUUAUUCUGCUCUUUAUUGAAUGUCUUAUUGGUUUUGAAUUACUACAUGUUGCACUUUUAUUUAUUGGCUAUUUGAUUCUUGCUGUCCAAUAAAAUGAGCUUCUCCAAGUUUGUUGUUGAUUCUGCUGAUUCAGUAACUACAAAAAAGAACCAACGUAAUAAAAAACUAAGAGAACAAUACGUUGCACUCUCUCCUCAAGAAAAGGAAAUUCGCUUGGCCAAACAAAGAGAGGCAUAUCAGAGAAGAAAAUUAAAUAAUUUUUUGGCACUUCCUGCUCAUGAACAAUUAAAACGAGUUGAAAAAUCGAUUAUUGGGGAGACUUUUCGCAUUCACUGUGACCAAGCAAAAGUUGAAGAGGAACAAGAUCGUCUGGCAAAAAAAAGGAAAUCCGUCGACAGAAGCAGAGAGAGGCUUAUCAUAGAAAAAAGUUGCGCUUAUCUUUUGGUGCUCAUGCAUCAGAACAUACUGAAGAAAUUGUCCAUGCUGCUCCUGCUACUGCGUUAACUACUACUAUGACUACCAAUUGCCUGUCGAGUGAAGAUCCUGCGAAUCUUAAAAAAAAGGAAAGUGUCACUUCUGCUCCAAACAACAUACAAUGUGAUGAAAUAUCAUCUCCAGAAAGUCUUCAAAAAAUGCAAAGUACCACUUCCACUGCAAAUAAUAUAUUAUUUGCUGAAGUACCACCUGCUUCUGGAUUAGUUAUUCAAGAGCCGGUUAACAGCAAUGCAAAAGGUAUAUUUAUAUACAAACGAAUGUCUAGCUCAUACUUCAAAUUCUAUAAUGCUAUCUUGUACUUAUUCUCACUCAGCUCCUGAACGCAGUAAUAUCG